rnacentral:lncRNA from 1 species
GUUUCAUCAAUUUUUUCCUGUUUCCCUCAUUGCUACAAUACACACAGGGAGACUCUUUCUGCUUUAAUUGCAUUCUGGAGGAAGAAAAAAAAGCAAACAGCAUGGAAUAUUUUGUUUCCCGUAUGUUGCUGUGUUUUCCCCAGUGAGGGGAAAAAAAAAUCCACCUUGCGAAAAUAACACCUUGUUUCUGCACAUAUUGGCACUUGCACUGCUUCCGUGUCAUGUUUGCUCUGUCAAAACAAGUUUUCCUCACCCCUCAGGGUCAACCUAGCUUUUGAAAACUAAGCUGUCGUCUCCAGGCAUCAUCACUAGCAGUAGCCAGAUAACAGACUAUGAGUUCACAUUCCAGAACGGUUAUGACUAGUGAUGAAUGAGCCAGCUCAGAGACAGAAGGAAUUUCCUACAGGUUAGACUGACCUUCCAAGAAACACUUUUGUCUGACCUAGUGGAGGCAACAAAGAGGAUGCAGUAGUGCAGGGGGGAGAAGGAGGAAGAGAGGAAACCCCGAUUACAACAGAGCGGGAUAUGAUACAGUACAUAUCAUUAUUGUUCAAUGGAUCUGCAUCUUUACCCAGAAUGUUCCAGGUGCCUUAUCAAACCAUAGAUCUCAGCUGCAGUCCUAAACCGUUCCGCAGAUCUAACGAGCAUUAAUUCCCCAUCGAUCACUACCACUUGUGACCACCACACAAGGAUGAGAAAUGUAGCUCCUCUCUGUCAGCCAGUCUUGAGUACGUUACCAGUCCCACCUCUACCCUACUGUAGACAAAGCCACCACCCAAAGCUCAAGAGAAUAAACCCACCCCAGAGAUUAGACCCGGAGCAUUAGCUCAGGCUGGGAGCACA